GGAGGGGUGGCCGAGCGGUCGAAGGCGGCGGUCUUGAAAACCGCUGAGGCGCAAGCCUCCAUGGGUUCGAAUCCCAUCCCCUCCGCCA
rnacentral:tRNA from 1 species